GGAGGAACCUCUGGAGAGAACCGUUAAAUCGGUCGCCGAAGGAGCAAGCUCAUUUCAUGUAAUGAGUGAAACUCUCAGGCAAAAGGACAGAGGAGAGAAU
rfam:Vibrio shilonii AK1 1103207002045, whole genome shotgun sequence.